rnacentral:rRNA from 1 species
ACCGGCGCACGGGUGAGUAACGCGUAUGUAACCUGCCUGAAACAGGGGGAUAGCUCCCGGAAACGGGGAUUAAGACCGCAUAAGACCACGGGUUCGCAUGGACAAGUGGUAAAAUAUUUAUAGGUUUCAGAUGGGCAUGCGUGACAUUAGCUAGUUGGUGAGGUAACGGCUCACCAAGGCGACGAUGUCUAGGGGUUCUGAGAGGAAGGUCCCCCACACUGGUACUGAGACACGGACCAGACUCCUACGGGAGACAGCAGUGAGGAAUAUUGGUCAAUGGGCGAGAGCCUGAACCAGCCAUGUCGCGUGCAGGAAGACGGCCCUAUGGGUUGUAAACUGCUUUUGUACGGGAAGAAAAAAGAUUACGUGUAAUCUAUCGACGGUACCGUACGAAUAAGGAUCGGCUAACUCCGUGCCAGCAGCCGCGGUAAUACGGAGGAUCCGAGCGUUAUCCGGAUUUAUUGGGUUUAAAGGGUGCGCAGGCGGGCUUAUAAGUCAGUGGUGAAAUCUUGCCGCUUAACGGUAAAAUUGCCAUUGAUACUGUAGGUCUUGAGUUCAGUUGAGGUAGGUGGAAUGUGGUGUGUAGCGGUGAAAUGCAUAGAUAUACCACAGAACACCGAUUGCGAAGGCAGCUUACUAAACUGAAACUGACGCUGAGGCACGAAAGCGUGGGGAUCAAACAGGAUUAGAUACCCUGGUAGUCCACGCU